rnacentral:snoRNA from 1 species
UCCAGCGGUAGUCAGCUACCCAUUGCUGCUCAGUGCCGGGGAUAGUGUUAUGCUGCUGGGAGAGAAACAGGCUGCCGAGCCGCGCCUGGCACCGCCUGCGCUGUUCUGGUGCUGGAUGGUGCCAGGCUUUGGCAGCACGCUGCAUGCUCGAGAGUGGAGUAACUCUUUCUCGGUGGAGUUAGUCCUAGAUUGGAUGCAGACAAU